ACAGCUCGAAAGCUACGAGGCUCACCACGCACAAGACACGUCUCGUACGCGUCUCUCCUCGUGAGCGGGAUAAGGUCUGAGCAUUCCAAUCUCUUUCGAUCGUCUCUAGAUGGGACCAGUCUUAACGGACUGAGCGACGUACCAGAAAAACAGUUGCGCGAUCGUCCAACUUUGAAAGGCGUCGCGGAGAUCGGGCGGGUGGUUUUUUCUCAUCAUAUGGAGAUCGGUGCUCUCUCUAUCGCGGCGUACCGUGUCCUCUUGUGGGCGCACUGUGAUCGCUCGGCAGCUGAUUCUCGGCUUCCCAGUCCCAGCCACGCUUCCCUACACUGUAUGGACCAGUGUCACGACCAUUGCACAAACGAUGGGCGUGCGCCGUACGAGGAGAGGAGCCGAUCUGUUAUCUCGGUAUAGGACCACUCGUCCUUCAGUUCACUUCGUGGCUCGCAGUCCUUCGUUGUCUGCGAAACUCGAUUCAGACUACUCUCGAACUGU
rnacentral:RNase_P_RNA from 2 species